AACGUAGGACGCAAGCGUUAUCCGGAGUUACUGGGCGUAAAGGGCAGGCAGGCGGUAUGCUAAGUUGGGUGUGAAAUCUCCCAGGCUUAACCGGGAGGGCGCAUCUGAGACUGGCAAACUGGAGGGCAGCAGAGGAGCGUGGAAUUCCGGGUGGAGUGGUGAAAUGCGUAGAGAUCCGGAGGAACACCAGAGGCGAAGGCGGCGCUCUGGGCUGCACCUGACGCUGAACUGCGAAAGCCAGGGGAGCGAACGGG
rnacentral:rRNA from 1 species